rnacentral:rRNA from 1 species
GACGAACCGUGCGAACGUUGUUCGGAAUCACUGGGCUUAAAGGGCGCGUAGGCGGGUGUGCAAGUCUGUGGUGAAAACCUCCAGCUUAACUGGAGAAGUGCCAUGGAUACUGCACAUCUUGAGGAGGGUAGGGGCAUCUGGAACGGUCGGUGGAGCGGUGAAAUGCGUUGAUAUCGACCGGAACCUCCGGUGGCGAAGGCGAGGUGCUGGACCCUUCUGACGCUGAGGCG